GACAUUAGUUAAGUUUAUAUAAGGAAGUGUAAACCGCCCCUUUAGUUUUAAGGUAACUUAUUACUUUAGGCUAGGUUGCUUUGUGUAUUACUAUUUUGUAAUCCAAGGCCUUAAUAGCAUUUAAGUGGUGGCACAGAAUCGGAGGCCCCGACUGUUUACUUAAAACACAGCUUUCUGCGACGAAUAAUAUCUUUGUAUAGAAAGCGAAUUUUGCCCAAUGCCAUUAAUAUAAGGUCGAUAAGCGCUUAGCGUANUUAUUGGCUGAAGUUCUGGUCAAUGGCGGUCUUAUCUAUGAGGAUCCUAAGGUAGCAAAAUUAAUUGUCCAUUAAAUGUGGUCCUGACUGAAUAAAGUAACGAUGGUCUCGCUGUCU
rnacentral:rRNA from 1 species